rnacentral:rRNA from 1 species
AUGACAAAAUCUUACCACGAAAUCACCGGUCACAAUCUUGACGAAACUCUUUUUCCACUCACCGACGCGGUGCCAAUUGUGGUACACGAUGCACUCGCUGCAUCUUGUGAAAGAUGUCUUCAUUCUACCACACCUACCUUGUUAAUUGAGAUCCAAGUUGUUAGAAAUUGGCAAAUAUAUCACGUACGAGCCCAACAGAACUCAACGCACAAGCGGGUAAAAACAAGCACAAUAUCCAUGUUAAACCAAAAGGAAAAAGAUCCAAAUGUGAACCCUACACUCAAAAUAAAUAAGUACAAUGAAGUCAAGCGAGCCCAAGCAACUGCUGUCAACCAAAACAAGUAG